AGCUGGUCUUCCAGCGUCACCAGGACCAGAGCGAGUUCCUUGCUUCCAAAACAACCGUGCCCACAUGGAGGCAGCCUCAGAACCUGCAGGAAACAGCCACGUACCAGGCUUGAUCAUGCUGAAUCAACAGCAUUGCUGAUGUCUCAGGUAUCCGGUCCCCAUCACAUCAGCAUACCUGCCGCAGGGGCACGGCUCCAAGCCCAUCCCUUUCCUCGGCUCAGAAGCCCUACGCAGCAACUGCAUCUCAUCAACAAAUUGCUGAUCAGUCACCCAGGGUCACGGAGUGGGAAAGAAGCCACAGCAACCAAACUGCAGGAGACAGGAGCCAAACGUGAGCAUAUCACACUCAGAAUAUGAACGUAAAUGUCAGCGACUGCCCUAAAACCUUCCACAUUCUCCUCUGUUUCUCCCAUCUUAUCACCUAGGACCGAAAUUGAAGAGCCAGGUCUUGAAGGAGGAGGCGUGUAUCAGCUUUCUUGUGUGUCCUACUUUUAUUACACUCCCAGUCUUGCAGUCUUCCCCUGACAUCCUUCCCAAACUGCUGGAGAAGAUGAAGUUUCCAGUGGGAAACUUCUGGUCAGCACAGUGGUGGACCUCCUGCCACUUUCACGUAGUAAGAAAAUCAAGUGUGUCUGCACUAACUGCAUAAAAACUAGAAUUGCUACACCCUGUCAGCUGCAGCAGUACGAGGAUUAGCCCAGGAUGGGACCUCUCAAAACAUGAGAUGUUAUCUUUUACGUCCAUAUGUUGCAGCCGUUCAUAGCUACCUCAAAGGCAGGACGAGGUAGCUGUGUAAUUGUUUUUACAUCUUUCAGAGUUUCCAUUCCCUAUUUAAAGAUGCAAAGGGCUGGCAUGCCAGCACUGUAACAGAAACACAGACAGCAGGGCUGGAAGUGAUCUCGGAAAACCACGUAAAUUCUCUCACCUCUUGCCCCAAGCAAAGCACUCGCUGCCUCAGUUUUCUCCUCUGUAAAAUAUGGCUAUUACUGAUUCAUAACAUCUGCCUGAUGGAGGAGUUUAAGCAUCACUGAAUGGGCUGAUGCGGCUCAUGGCAGGAGAAACUUUAUUCUCUGAGACCAGCCAGCACCUCUUCAGCCUCACCUGGCUCUUCUGCAGGGAGAAUGCAGGAUUACAUGGAAGGAGAUAGAUUAGAGGUUGGAAAUAGCACAGGCAAAGUGGGAAAGAAGCGGUUGUGGAGGAGGAUCAUGGAUACAAUCUAAAUUUCCAUCUAUGAGAAAAUAAUCCACUGUAAAUAUCACUUAGCUGAACAGGAUCACUUGCCUGCAUCUGCAGAUAGUCUGAAAUAAGAGUGGUAUGACCAACUCCAGCCUCACACAAGCCGGUAUCAGCUCAAUUGCAAAUGCUCCCUCUCUUUAAUUACUACAGGACUGAUUACUGCAAGCGAAGAAAAAGAUACUCUGUUUAGAUCUGAAGGGUCUCGAGCUCGCAGUCUCACGUUUUGCCAUGAUCAAACAAUAACAUUUCAGUUACAGAAAGAGCUCGUAUCUCCUGGCUCCAGUCUUGUGCCUGGUAAGGAGUAAUAAUUCAUGUUUAGAAAGUACUACAUAAAACUCUAUCUCCAGAGGUUGUCAGGUUUACAUUGCAAAAAUAUAGGGUAAGCAGCACGGCUAUUAAUUUUUAAUAACUACCUCAGUAAUGAUUAAAAAAAAAUGGGGGAAAAAAUGGCAAAGGGACUUGGGAAAAAAAAAAAAAAUCACUUGCUCACCACUGAAAAUGCUCAUCUGCACUUUGUCACAUUCUUGUCAUCUUUGACUCAUUUCCUGAGCGGACCUUGUAGCUGCCUGUGCGGUUGUGGUUUUACACCGUUGUGAAAACACCAUAAAACAAGCUGGGUUUUGUUAGAGGCUUUUGUAGGGGGUUGGUUGUUUGUUUUAACAACGUUGGUUCUGAUUCCCCAAUGUCGUUAGGACUAUUUAAAUGUUUGUCAUCACAACUCCAGCAAAACGUUGGUUUCUUAGGAAGUUGUAAGAUAUCAAAAUAGCCAAAGAAACAAACACAAGAAUAAAUCAAACCAGAAACCCAAAAUCUUAACUGUGCUUUACUGCGGGAGGUGUACACUGUAUGAAUACACCAUGAGCAAAUACCAGAGUUCAAUGACAAUGAAAAUACAAUUCAUUUUCCAACAAACACAAGAAGAAGCAUGUCACUAAUGGGCACGUCGUGAAGUGGAGAGUUACUUGGGAUUUCCUCGAAGAGACGGAAGACUCUUGACAGAUCAGUAGGCUCGGAAAAUGUGCUGGCCUAUCUAGAUAAGCAUAUGCUGGGAAGGUAAGAAGGAAGAUUUUGAGGGAGAAGAUUCAAUCAGCUGUUUCUCUGGGAGGAAUAAUCCUCUGCGUUUAAUCUCAAUCUGUCCGUCACCUGCAGGCUUGGAAAGCACGUGAUAAAUGUUACAGUCAUUCUCAGAGAAACCACAUACACGUACCAUCGUGCUGGAGGAUUCUUGCAUCUGUAUAGAGCUGGAGAUGGUAUUUGCUGUGGUAUUUUUGAAGACUUUCCCCUAUUAUUGAAAGAGAUGACAAAAUUAAAGGUCUUGGGCAAAAUUUGGUCCUCUUGUUGCAAGAUCCUGAAGUGAUUAUGGGAGUUUUGCUGGAGUCGAGGGAAGGAUGGGGCAAGACAGCUUUGUGGGGGGUGACAUACACCUUGACAGUGUUGUAGAAUAAAGUAGACCUUUGGGUCAAG